GAUGAACGCUGGCGGUAUGCCUAACACAUGCAAGUCGAGCGAACACACAGUGAGCUCUCUCUUUUGACGUUAGCGACUGACGGGUGGGUAAGACGUGCAUAACCAUCUUAUUUGACUUGGAUGAUUACGUGAAACCGGUUCCAAUACUACCGCAUACGACGUACGGCAGGGAGCAAUAGUUAUUGGCGCCUUUCGCGUUUGAUAUAGCUGGUGUCGCGCCGGAUUAGCUAGUUGGUAAGGUAACAGCAUACCAAGGCGACGAUGCGUAGCCGACCUGAGAGGGUGAUCGGCCACACUGGAACUGAGACACGGUCCAGACUCCUACGGGAGGCAGCAGUAGGGAAUCUUCCGCAAUGGGCGAAAGCCUGACGGAGCAACGCCGCGUGAGUGAUGAAGGUCUUCGGAUCGUAAAGCUCUGUUAUUAGGAAAGAAAAAAUGUAGAUGAAACUAUGCCCGUCUUGACGGUACCUAAUCAAAAAGCAACGGCUAACUACGUG
rnacentral:rRNA from 1 species